rnacentral:rRNA from 1 species
UACGGGGGGGGCAAGCGUUGGUCGGAAUUACUGGGCGGAAAGGGCUCGCAGGCGGCCGACUAAGUCAGACGUGAAAUCCCUUGGCUUAACCAAGGAAUGGCGUCUGAUACUGGACGGCUUGAAUCCGGGAGAGGGAUGUGGAAUUCCAGGUGUAGCGGUGAAAUGCGUAGAUAUCUGGAGGAACACCGGUGGCGAAGGCGGGUCUCUGGGCCGAUACUGACGCUGAGGAGCGAAAGCGUGGGGAGCGAACAGG